rnacentral:rRNA from 1 species
CACUACUUCUGGAAUGGGUAAUGACUUAAAUCUAUAUGGCCCCUGGAUUGGACUGCGGCCGAUCAGGCUGUUGGUGAGGUAAUGGCCCACCAAACCUGUAACCGGUACGGGCUCUGAGAGGAGGAGCCCGGAGAUGGGCACUGAGACAAGGGCCCAGGCCCUAUGGGGCGCAGCAGGCGCGAAACCUCUGCAAUAGGCGAAAGCCUGACAGGGUUACUNUGAGUGAUUUCCGUUAAGGAGAUCUUUUGGCACCUCUAAAAAUGGUGCAGAAUAAGGGGUGGGCAAGUCUGGUGUCAGCCGCCGCGGUAAUACCAGCACCCCGAGUGGUCGGGACGUUUAUUGGGCCUAAAGCAUCCGUAGCCGGUUCUACAAGUCUUCCGUUAAAUCCACCUGCUUAACAGAUGGGCUGCGGAAGAUACUAUGGAGCUAGGAGGCGGGAGAGGCAAGCGGUACUCGAUGGGUAGGGGUAAAAUCCGUUGAUCCAUUGAAGACCACCAGUGGCGAAGGCGGCUUGCCAGAACGCGCUCGACGGUGAGGGAUGAAAGCUGGGGGAGCAAACCGGAUUAGAUACCCGGGUAGUCCCAGCUGUAAACGAUGCAGACUCGGUGAUGAAUUGGCUUCAUGCCAAUUCAGUGCCGCAGGGAAGCCGUCAAGUUUGCCGCCUGGGGAGUACGGUCGCAAGACUGAAACUUAA